rnacentral:rRNA from 1 species
AGAGUUUGAUCAUGGCUCAGAGCGAACGCUGGCGGCAGGCUUAACACAUGCAAGUCGAGCGGGCGUAGCAAUACGUCAGCGGCAGACGGGUGAGUAACGCGUGGGAACGUACCUUUUGGUUCGGAACAACACAGGGAAACUUGUGCUAAUACCGGAUAAGCCCUUACGGGGAAAGAUUUAUCGCCGAAAGAUCGGCCCGCGUCUGAUUAGCUAGUUGGCGAGGUAACGGCUCACCAAGGCGACGAUCAGUAGCUGGUCUGAGAGGAUGAUCAGCCACAUUGGGACUGAGACACGGCCCAAACUCCUACGGGAGGCAGCAGUGGGGAAUAUUGGACAAUGGGCGCAAGCCUGAUCCAGCCAUGCCGCGUGAGUGAUGAAGGCCCUAGGGUUGUAAAGCUCUUUUGUGCGGGAAGAUAAUGACGGUACCGCAAGAAUAAGCCCCGGCUAACUUCGUGCCAGCAGCCGCGGUAAUACGAAGGGGGCUAGCGUUGCUCGGAAUCACUGGGCGUAAAGGGUGCGUAGGCGGGUCUUUAAGUCAGGGGUGAAAUCCUGGAGCUCAACUCCAGAACUGCCUUUGAUACUGAGGAUCUUGAGUUCGGGAGAGGUGAGUGGAACUGCGAGUGUAGAGGUGAAAUUCGUAGAUAUUCGCAAGAACACCAGUGGCGAAGGCGGCUCACUGGCCCGAUACUGACGCUGAGGCACGAAAGCGUGGGGAGCAAACAGGAUUAGAUACCCUAGUAGUCC